rnacentral:rRNA from 1 species
CUACUUUGCUGACGAGCGGCGGACGGGUGAGUAAUGCUUGGGAACAUGCCUUGAGGUGGGGGACAACAGUUGGAAACGACUGCUAAUACCGCAUAAUGUCUACGGACCAAAGGGGGCUUCGGCUCUCGCCUUUAGAUUGGCCCAAGUGGGAUUAGCUAGUUGGUGAGGUAAUGGCUCACCAAGGCGACGAUCCCUAGCCGGUUUGAGAGGAUGAUCAGCCACACUGGGACUGAGACACGGCCCAGACUCCUACGGGAGGCAGCAGUGGGGAAUAUUGCACAAUGGGCGCAAGCCUGAUGCAGCCAUGCCGCGUGUGUGAAGAAGGCCUUCGGGUUGUAAAGCACUUUCAGUCAGGAGGAAAGGUUAACGGUUAAUACCCGUUAGCUGUGACGUUACUGACAGAAGAAGCACCGGCUAACUCCGUGCCAGCAGCCGCGGUAAUACGGAGGGUGCGAGCGUUAAUCGGAAUUACUGGGCGUAAAGCGUACGCAGGCGGUUUGUUAAGCGAGAUGUGAAAGCCCCGGGCUCAACCUGGGAACUGCAUUUCGAACUGGCAAACUAGAGUGUGAUAGAGGGUGGUAGAAUUUCAGGUGUAGCGGUGAAAUGCGUAGAGAUCUGAAGGAAUACCGAUGGCGAAGGCAGCCACCUGG